AAUCUUAUAUUUUUAAUUAAAAAUUUUAAAUUGCAAAUUUAAAGAUAUAUAUAUAUUAUAUUAAGAUUU
rnacentral:tRNA from 2 species